AAUGAACGUUGGCGGCGUGGAUUAGGCAUGCAAGUCGAGCGAGAACCCCGCAAGGGGGGACAGCGGCGAAAGGGACAGUAAUGUGUAGAUUAUCUGCCCUCAGGUCCGGGAUAGCUGCGGGAAACUGCAGGUAAUACCGGAUAACAUCUCCGGAUCAAAGGUGUGAUUCCGCCUGAGGAUGAGUCUGCAUCCUAUUAGCUAGUUGGUGGGGUAAUGGCCUACCAAGGCAUUGAUGGGUAGCAGGUGUGAGAGCACGACCUGCGUCAUUGGGACUGAGACACUGCCCAGACACCUACGGGUGGCUGCAGUCGAGAAUCUUCGGCAAUGGGCGAAAGCCUGACCGGGCGACGCCGCGUGUGGGAUGAAGGCCUUCGGGUUGUAAACCACUGUCAGAGGGGAUGAAAUGCAGGUGGGUUCUCCCAUCUGUUUGACAUAGCCUCAGAGGAAGGACGGGCUAAGUUCGUG
rnacentral:rRNA from 1 species